ACAAACACCCUGGGUGAAAGACAGGAAGAAAUGAAAUCAAAUGAUUUUAUGUCUCUGCAGCAUCACUCAAGUACACCAAGAUGAUUAUCUGUAGAGUGCUCAAAAACCUCCUAUUUAGAAAGAUGUACUCCUAAUUUAGGUUUGCAAGACACAGGCUCUCUUUGAUCAUUACAUGUGCCUGUUUUCCAGUUUCUCAACCUGUUCUCAAAGUGAGGUAUGCUGAUUUAUGUUUUUCUGUUGACUUCUACUGUACACAAGCCUUUCUUCUGAGAAGUUAAUGGUGAAAAAUGGCAGACCAGAUCCAGGGGCCUCAACAAUUGAACAGCGUGAGUGGAAAACAGCAAGGGGUUGCUUCCCUUGUCUGUUUUCUCUAAAUUAUUUCAAGACACCUACUUCAAAGAAUCUUUAAUCUGCAGAAGUAUUUCAAUUGUAAAAGAAGAUACUUUUUCUGGUCAAAAUUAAUUUAAAUCCCUAAUAAUUUCAGUUAGCAUGAAACGGAAAGAUCUGAAGGACCUAACUAGCCUGCACACUUUUCACCUUUGAUGUCUAGCAGGAAGGUAACUAGAUUAAAAAUUACUUUAAAACUUGCCUGCAAAACUGUAGACAGCAGAACCAUUCCAGGCCAUAGCAGCUCAAAUAGAAAAGCUUUAAAUAAUAAUGCAAAGAAACGUAAUAGGAACCAGUUCCCAAAUCAUUUCUGGAUAAUUUGGUACAUGAAAUCUAGUAUGCUUUUCAUGCUUCUCUUAAGCACUCUAUAAAAUGAGAUACUCUUAACUGCGUUAGAACAUUUCUGUUUUGAUUGGCUCAGAACGGCUGGAGGUACUCGAAAUGAUUUUUAAUGAACCAAGCACAUGGUGUGGCGUCACCAGUCAUUCUCUUCAGAGCCUCUUGGUCAUUUUAUAGAAAUUGCUUAAUUGGGAAAUAACACAAUGAAAAUCUUACAUUCGGCUGGUUAAAAAUUGGAUCAUAAUUCCAAAGUCUAGGUAAAAGUUUAUAGCUGGAGCAGAAUGCCA
rnacentral:lncRNA from 1 species